rnacentral:rRNA from 1 species
UACGUAGGGCGCAAGCGUUGUCCGGAAUCACUGGGCGUAAAGGGCGCGUAGGCGGCUGGGGAAGUCGGCGGUGAAAGCCCGGAGCUCAACUCCGGGUCGGCCGUCGAGACUCCUCGGCUCGAGCUCACUAGAGGCAGAUGGAAUUCCGGGUGUAGCGGUGGAAUGCGUAGAGAUCCGGAAGAACACCGGUGGCGAAGGCGGUCUGCUGGGGUGAGGCUGACGCUGAGGCGCGACAGCGUGGGGAGCAAACAGG